AUCACGCGGGAUCACGACACUACAGCGCGAGGAUUGCGGUGGCGUUCAGUUAACCCUCGCUGGAGAGACGUCUCUGCCGUCGUCCCGUUCCCAUCCGACGCAAACGUAGCCCGCGACACACACCCAGGAUCGACUUAGCGAGGCGGAAAUCGGAGCCAUGUAUCGACGCAAGUCACUCCGCUUCCUGGUUUCCUUCCACUGCUGCGGACGCGGAGGGAGAGUCUGCGCUAACGUCAUCGAGAGCGCCAUAUUGAUGUGCAUGGUGAUCGCAGCAGCAACCGCGGCUUCAUUGACUGGCUCGUCUCAUCAGUCCAGGUGGCCGGCUCGUAGAGGACAAAGAGGCGACGAAGAGGCGAGGGCUCCGAGGCAUUUCGCGGCGCGACAGACAGGCGACACCGAAAUUGGUCGCGGGGGCUCGGUCAGGCAAGGCCGGCCCAGUGGCCGACAGCGCUCGCCGGCGUGCGAAGGCAACAACGCGUUCCGAACUGCUGGCAUUGGAGAUCGAUGGUCCACUUAGAUACAUCGCCAAUCGAUCUCCGCGACGGCAGGAGCCCCGAGGUGAUCCAGUGCCCACCGCGACGGCGCCGAACGUCGCCCCGGUCGCUUUGGGCCGCGGCGGCGGUCGACAUUUCUUUCGGUUCAUUCACCAAGACGCACGGCGCGCCACGCGCGCAAGACACACGUGUGCGCGUUGUGUGCGGGCACCAAUGCGCACCCCCCUCUGCCUCGCGGCUUCACAAUAGAGAGGUGAAGGAAAGCGGAGGAUCCAGUUCGGCGGAGUGCCUUGACUUCCCGCCUCUCACCUCCAGUCGACCCUCCGAUCGGCGGGAGGCAAACGUCACAGCCGUGAUGAGGGAUUGAAACAAUGUAAACGUCGAGAGGCUGGCGAGCGCCGUGCGUGGUUAAACGAACAGCGUGUGUAGCGCGCACACCUGGUUGGUUGGUAUGGUGGAAGAUGUAAUGCUUGUCACGACGCUGAUAUACUGAAACCGGUUACCCACCUCCUGCAGGGUUCUAUCGUGUAGUUGACGCGAGACGAGUGCUUGCCUGGUGCGUUGACCUUCUAAACGCGGGGGCAUGCUGGCGGUGCUCCAGACACAGCUGAACAUUCCGGCGACCGCCGCUACAAACAAUGACAACUUUUUGAUACGGUUCUGAUGUGAAAGCGGAGCUAGACAUUGCUGCUCCAUUGUUCGUUUA